GUUCUGAGCAGGGACAGAUCUUAACCCAGCGCCUGAGUUUUUUCUCUUAACCAAUCACAAUCAACUCCAGGCAGCUCGAGCUUCCCCAGGGGCUCGCGAGUGUGAAAAGUUGUUCAAAUUUCUCCUGAGGUGAUUUGAGAACGGGCAGCCAAGAUUGAAAGUCACAGCUACAGGGAUAGAUGACAUGGACACAGCAACUGAUGCUUUUGUUAAACAAAAACUGGAAGAAUGGAACCUCCACUCAUUGAUAGAAAUGUUUGAAGGAAGCAUGGUAUCCCCAGGGAAGACACCACCAUCCAGCAACUGGCUACCUUGAAGAAAGGCUACGCAACAUCAGAAAACACCUAAGAAGACAGAGCCAGGACAGAUCACAAAGAACUGCAGACAGAAUGACAAGCAGAGCUGUGCACAUGCCCGGUUGGGACGAACAUGAUUGAAUACCUUCAGCAUGCAGAAGUUGACAGACCCCACCCCUUCGUGCUGCUGCUCGGAGAACGACACAAUUUUUCACAAGCUUUUGUUAUUAUCUAUGGACAAGCACUGGAGCAGGCAUCUUUACUUAAGGCUGUUGGUGUGUGCUUUGAUAUUUUAUUGCUUUGAUAUUUCAUACCCAAAGCAGUGCUCUCCUGCUUGGGAAUUUUUGCAGCACAUUGUGUAUGAGGUCGCUGGUAAUGAGUCUCCAUCACCCAAUGUUAGAAUUAAGAAGUUUUAUUUUCUCUGUUUUAGGAUGAUGUAAUUACAUGUACUGUUACUCAGAGUGGUAUAAAUAACUAGACCUUUUGAAUCACUAACAUGUAAAUGUGUUUCAUCUCAGAUGUUUUAAAUAAAUGUUAAUUGUUGGA